rnacentral:rRNA from 1 species
CCUACGGGAGGCUGCAGUGGGGAAUAUUGCACAAUGGGGGAAACCCUGAUGCAGCAACGCCGCGUGAGCGAUGAAGGCCUUCGGGUCGUAAAGCUCUGUCCUAAGGGAAGAAUACUGACGGUACCUUAGGAGGAAGCCCCGGCUAACUACGUGCCAGCAGCCGCGGUAAUACGUAGGGGGCUAGCGUUAUCCGGAAUUACUGGGCGUAAAGGGUGCGUAGGCGGCCCUUCAAGUCAGAGGUGAAAGGCUACGGCUCAACCGUAGUAAGCCUUUGAAACUGUAGGGCUUGAGUGCAGGAGAGGUGAUUGGAAUACCCAGUGAAGCGGUGAAAUGCGACGAUAUCGGGAGGAACACGAGUUACGAAGGCGGCUCUCUGAACUGUAACUGACGCUGAGGCACGAAAGCGUGGGGAGCGAACAGGAAUGGAUACCCCUGUAGUC